AAAUCCAAUUCUCUAGCUUUCGUUUACGAUCAACCAAAUGCAGCUAUGGCUUUGCACUCCGUAAGUCUUUCUUCUUCUUCGUAGUCUUCGCAGCUAUUGAUUUUUCCAAUCGCAGGCCAGAGUUUUACAAUAAGUUCGCAUUUUAAUUCUUCUUCUUUCGCUCCUCCCCUUCGGAGAUCCCACGCUCAUCUUUGAGAAAGAAUUCUGAAAUACGAAUUCAGAGUUAUUGCAAAAUCAUUCAAGCCCUUCCCUACCGUGCGUCCUCAUUCAAGAAGAUCAAAAUCAUUGCGAUCCACAUUCAAUUGGCUGUGAGAAACGAUGAAGAGUUGAGCAAGCUUUUGAGAGUGAUGACAAUUACGAACGGAGGUGUUCAAUUUUCUGGUUAUUUAAUUUCAUCGAAUACAAUUUGAACUCUAGCAUUGUGUAAGAACAAAUUUUGACCAGAACUAGGUAUGCUAUUGUUUUUAUUUUGAUAUGGGUUACUUUGCAAUUUUUUGUAUUUAUUGAUUUUGGUGGUCUCCAUUUUUUUUUCUUUUCUUAUUGUUGUUUUCAAAGGAAUUUUUAAUGGUUGGGUUUGAAAUUGUUGAAGGAGGCGAAGAAGUUGCUAUGGGAGGAUCGUCUAUUUCAUAAGAACAUGACGGUUCCGAAUGAGGCUAAUAUCGACUUGGCCACUUGAUUUAGGUAAUCACUUUUAUUUUUCUAUAAAGGAAAAACUAUGCUCAACAACAAUCUAUUAGCAAUUCAUAUAUAUUGUGGAGCCGGAAAAGAGAAUAGUUUCAAUAACUACUAUUAUUGCUAUUGUUGGGCCAAUUGGUGUAUGAUUGGUAGUAGCCGCCAUAACAGGAACAGGUUACUGAAAUUAUGACCAAUUUGUUCGUAUCAAAGGUUGUCUUAUUGGAGUUUAUUGCAGAAAUCUGAGAAGGGUCUGCAGCCAAAAGAUUUGAGAUUGCUGCUAAGGUUGUGUAAGGAGGCACACCUCUGAAAGUAAUGAAAGCUUGACAUGUUCUGUUUAGACCAUUGCAGAAGUAGCCAAGAGAAGAGUUUGAGUUAUCCUUUUUGUCACAUUCGGUUGUGUCUUCUCUCACAUAUGGUUGUUGAGCAAAAAUUGAAGAGAAGCUACAACUAAUAAUGAUGAUGAUGAUGAAGAAGAAGAAAAUGAGCUUUGGAGAACUCAUUUAAUCUCAAACAAUAACUAAUAAUAAUUUUUCUUCAAUUAUUAUUAACUAAUAAUGAUGAUGAUGAUGAAGAAGAAGAAAAUGAGCUUUGGAGAACUCAUUUUGUCUUGGAAAAUCUAAAUAGUUAUUGUUCUAAAUAUGUAUAGAUAUAUUAUUAACAAAGUCAACAAAGAAAGUGAAACUACUUGUGUGAAUGUGAUAAAGGAAGCACUUUAACAUUGUUUUUGGGCAUUAUUUAGUAUACAUCUUUGCAUCGUUCAUUUCAUUUAAUCAGAGGUUGACUACUCAAUAUAAAUGUACCUCUAAAAAUAA